ACGGGGCAUCAGGAAUGCAAACAGACGCCUGAGUGAGUGAGUGUGUGAAGCACGUGUGUGUGUGUGUGUGUGUGUGUGUGUGUGCAG